UGUCACUUCCUAUCUGCAGCCUGUCCCCGAGGCACAAAUGGACACUCCAUCCACUUGUCAGUGAACCGUAUAUACCUGGACAUGGCUGCCCUCCCCCUCUCAAGCUCCGCUCCCCUGUGCAAGACAUGAUGCACCGUAUGUGUCGUAGUGAAUUGAGAACAGCAGGGUGGGAGGUAGGCUGCACACUGGGAGCCCAUGAGGCACGCCAAGAUCAAGCAACAGAGCGAAAGGAGACAUUCCUCUGCAUACAUGAAUAUCAUUCCAGCGAGAGAGAAAGAAGAACAAAGACCACCGAAGUUAAUGACUUUUCUGUAUCUUCAAGUGUGCUGCUGUGUCUCCUCUGCCCUCUUGUAGUUGCUGCAAGGUAAAAACAACAAGUAGCUGUGGCAGUAGUAGCAGAGAUAAGAGCUCUUAUUGAGGACAUGUUUUUCUUUGCUUGUUAUGUUCCUGUCAUGGUAUAUUAAAGCAGCUAUAUUUUUUUAUUACACAGCCUUGUUGAAUAGGCCCUACUUGACUCUGAUUUGUCUGUCACAGCAUUCUACAGUCUGUUGUUUUACAGUUACGGUUUACAGUUAUCAGUGCCAUAGAGCCCGCUCUACAUUAUCCCUUACAUAUUAAUAAUGGAUCAAAUAACUACUUUAUGUGAGGGGGGUCGCUCUGAUCAACCCUGAUAAUUACCAAAUCUGCAGUUCUUCUCUGCACUAGGGAGUCUUAAUAGCGUCUUCCAGAAUCAGAAUACUUUAUUGAUCCCCUCAGGGAAAUUGUUUAAUUGCAGUUGUUCACAGUCAAAUUCAAGGUAAAAAAAGAGUAAGAAAAGAGCGAACAUACAGUUGCUAAGGUAAGAAAUAAAAAUGUUAAGUAGAAAUGAGAUUAGGUUAAAAAGUAAGUAAGAUUGUUUCUAAAACAAUGGAUUGUACAAAUUUUAUUGUAGUGCAGGUUUGUUUUCAUACAUAAACAGUGCCUAGGUCAUUGUUUACGGCAUGCAAUUUUACUUUUUUGGUUCAUUCUCAGCACUCUCACAGCAUAAUUUUGGCCUCAGAAGACACCUGUUUUCAGUCAAAAAAGCACUAAAAACCCACUGUGGGCUGCCUGCUCAGCCAGUCCUGUCUCCUAAAAAUUACAUUCCCAUACAACUAAACUGCAUUCUCAAUUACGUUUUGAGGGAAACGUAUUUUGUCGCAGAUUAUGUUUGUUUUUGAAGUAUCACAAAUAUGUUUCUAAAAUUCCACGUAUCUGGAUCGACUCUGGGGACCAUGAAUAUGUGUACUGCUGUCUUCUGGCCAAUAUUAAAGUUGAUUAAUUACUUGGUAACGCAGCCGCCAUCUCAAAGGAAACUAUUGUGACCAGACGCUGUGUUGCUAGACGACUGAGACAUGAUUACUGUGCUGAAUAAUGACAUUUAAAUUAUAAAUUUGAUCAAAUUAAACUUCUAAUUUUUCUCAAACUGAUUUGCAAUAAAAACACUUUCCUGAA